UAGGGAAUAUUGGUAAUGGGCGAAAGCCCGAACCAGCAACGCCGCGUGCGCGAAGAAGGCCUUCGGGUUGUAAAGCGCUUUUUAAGGGGAUGAGGAAGGACAGUACUCUUAGAAUAAGCCUCGGCUAACUACGUGCCAGCAACCGCGGUAAAACGUAGGAGGCGAGCGUUAUCCGGAUUUACUGGGCGUAAAGCGUGUGUAGGCGGGUUGAUAAGUUGGAUGUGAAAGCUCCCGGCUCAACUGGGAGAGGUCGUUCAAAACUAUCAGACUUGAGAGUGGGAGAGGGAGGUGGAAUUCCGCGUGUAGUGGUGAAAUGCGUAGAUAUGCGGAGGAAUACCAGUUGCGAAGGCGGCCUCCUGGCACAUUUCUGACGCUCAGACACGAAAGCUAAGGUAGCAAACG
rnacentral:rRNA from 1 species